AUGUCUUAUGUCUUCCUUGAGGCUUUCUACAAAGAAUUCCAAAAAGAAUUCUUCUGGCAUAGUUGGGCUCCUGAUUUGAAUCCAAGCCUUAAGGAGAAGUACCAAGCUUCUACCCUUCCAUUGAGGUAUAGGACUGCUUCUUCAAGUUUUUGCUCUGAAUUGGAUACAUAGUUGUAGUAGAAAUAUCUCACACUUCCUCAACCAAGAACAAGGGUAAGAUCCCACGGCACCAUCAAAAUAAGGGAAUUCAACUCUGGAAUUAUAGGUGCAAUGACCACCAUGAUGAUUUCUUUCACCGACCAAGGAAGCAGCUAUCUGCUCCCCCCUAAGGCCACUCAUUUGUUCUUCUUGCUGAUUUGUUCUUCUUGCUGAUGGAUCUCUACUGGUUCACUACCCAGUAUGCCUGCGUGGUUGGGCAAUAACUUUUCCAUCAAUACAUCGAACUUUUGAGCCAGCUCAUCAAUUUUGGCAUAUGUGGUCUCAUAUUUCUUGCUUUCUUCUGCUAUGUGAUUUUGGAGUUGUGUCUAACUUCUAGAGACUAUCCUCCAUAUAUUUCGAUCUAGUUCUGUAAUAGUCAUGAUUUGUAGGGCCAGGAGAUGCUCUGAUCCAAAAUGUAAUGUUCUUAUGCGAAACUGUAAACGCAAUGGAAUGGAAAUCGAACUUUUAUUGAUAAUUGUCUAUUGUAUUACAACUCAGAGGUAAUUACAACUAGAAAACUAUUGGGUUUUCAACUGGAACUUGAGCUUUAAUUACGGAAUUACCUGAAAAGAAGAAUUAGAAUUGGGUAAGGAAGAGAAAGAGAGAAGAGAAAAUGAGAGGAAGGAAUAGUAGAGAAAAUAAAUUACUAGAUUGCAUAACCAUCUCCUUUAGAGCUCUAUGGAAUAUAAAGCCCAACACUGCAACGAUCCACUAACUAACUAAAGGCCCAAUAACCAACUCAGCUGAAGAUUUAAUCUAGGCCGUCAAUUGAUUUAGCUAACUUUCAAUCUUAGCCAUCUAUUAUAAUUAAGCUACUAAAAUACGUGUACUCAGGAAGGGUUAAUAAUUUUCCACGUCGCCUUACUCGUCUCUGCCUCUUCCCCGUAUUUAUCAGCUUACUUUCAAAAUUUAAAUCCUGAUUCCCAAUUUAGAGAUUCCCCUCUUCCGUCAUAACAUUCAUUCAGAAACUUCAAAAUCACCCGAUAAGGAGAGAAAUUAAGGUUUGAAGUUCAAAAGUUAAUCUUUCACCCAACUUUUAGAUAUUACUUCCAUUAAAAUUAUGAAUAGUGGGGUAUAAUUGACUCAAUGACUUGUCCUCUAUACAAUAUGCAAUAGGAAUUUAUCUCACUUAUUCUUCCAAUGCUCGGUGAGUGCAAGGUUAUGGUGCCAAAUGUUGUAUUGCAGUGAAUACUUGGGCAACCAAUGGAAUGGCAAAAUGAAGUUAUGUGGGCAUGCAAUUGAACUCAGAUGUAUAGAAUGUGCCUUGCUGGAAGUAUGUAUAUUCUAUAGCUCGAGAGGAAUCACAAAGUGUUCAGACAAUAGCAGAGAUCUGAAGAUAGUAUGGUCAGACAGUUGGUUCAGGAGAUAUUUUAUAGAGGUGUCCUGAAGAGUUGACUAAUAGGAAAACUUCAACUUCUCAAUUUCCAUCCUUGAUGUCUAAGUUUGGCGGUUCGGUUUAUUUGAAGAAUCUGAGUAUGGUAGAAGUAGUGGAAGAAAUAGUUUGAGAGAUGAUGAUGAUGUGCACUCUCUCUUGUUUCUUUUUUGUCUGCUUGUGUCACAAUCCAAAAUCUUACCUUUCUUGA